CGCCACUGCACUCCAGCCUGGGUGAUAAGAGCAAGACUCUGUCUCUAAAUAAAUAAAGAUUAAAAAAUAAACAUGAUGAUCACAGAUGCAGUCACAUUUUCUGAGUUCUUGCCACCCAGGUAGCCUCCCAAAACUUUGACCCAGUCGCUGUCAGUGUUGCCACCACCCAUAAAGGAGCUGAGCCCAGCAGGAGCAUUGCCUGGGACCCUGUAGGCAAAAGGCUACAGCAGGAGCUGGUGACCCUCACAAUGCCUGGUGACAAAAGAAUUUCUGCCUGCCCUGAAAGCCUUAUCAAAUGGAGACUAUCCAUGGAGCUGCUGGCACAGUGUAUGAAGACCUGAGGUAUAAACUCUUGCUAGAGUUCCUCAGUGACUACCCACCCUUACAAUGCACCCAUGGUGAAGUUCCUCACACCCUGCUACCACCCUAACAUGAACACCCAGGGUAACAUAUGCCUGGAAAUCCUGAAGAAGUAGUUUGCCCUGUAUGAUAUCAGGACCAUCCUGCUCUCUAUCCAGUGCCUGCUAGAACCCAACAUUAAUAAAUAGCCCUUUGAACACACAUGCUACCAAGCUCUGGGAAACCCCACAGCUUUAAGAAGUACUUGCAAGGGCCGGGCGCGGUGGCUCACGACUAAUCCCAGCACUUUGGGAGGCCGAGGUGGGUGGAUCACCUGAGGUAGAUAGAGAGUCCAAGGCCUGAUAAACAUGGAGAAACCUCAUCUCUAUUUAAAAAAAUUAAAAAUUGGCCAAGCGUGGUGGCAUGUGCCUGUAAUCCCAGCGACUCAGGAGGCUGAGGCAGGAGAAUCACUUCAACCCGAGAGGCGGAGGUUGCGGUGAGCUGAGAUCUCACUAUUGCACUCCAGCCUAGACAACAAGAGUGAAACUCCGUCUCAAAAAAAAUAAAAAUAAGGAAGUACCUGCAAGAAAGCUACUCAAAGUAGGUCACCAGCCAGGAGCUCUGACCCACGCUGCGCAGCCUAUCCUUGUGUUUUAAUUUUUCCUUAGAUUGUCUGCCCUUUCCGUGAUUUCUGUAUAGAACUCUGUAUCUUGAGCUUUGGUACUAUUUUUCUUUUGUCUUUUAAUUUAAGCCUUGGUGGAGGCCUUGUGAUUAAUAUUAAAUAAAUACAUUUUGGGUCAGG